UUUCCGUAGGUGAACCUGCGGAAGGAUCAUUAUUGUAGGGACUCCUGUCCCCUCAAGAUGCAACCCGUGCCUUUUUUGUAGCCCGUAACGUUUCCUCGGCAGCCCCGCUGCCAGCGAGGACCCCCCCACCCCAAACCAAACCUGCAAUCUCAGUAAAAAAUUCAGAAACCCCCCAAAAUUUAAAACUUUCAACAAUGAAUCUCUUGGCUCUGGCAUCGAUGAAGAACGCAGC
rnacentral:misc_RNA from 1 species